GAAGGUGUAUCUAGAAAGACAAAUUAGAGCUUGAAAAGUAAAGCAUUUCAUUUACAUUGAAAAGUAUAUUGUGUAAUUCAAUUUAAUUUGAUAAUAAAAAUUUAUUAGUUUUUUUUGUUUAAAAAUUUAUUUAAUAAAAUUAAUUUUAAAUUAAGUUUUUUUUGUAUAGUAUAUAGAUCAAAUAAUUUAUAUAAUAGUUAAUUAGUAUUGUAAAAGAAUAUUGAAAUAUAUGAAAAAGUUUUAAAUUAAAAGUAAAUUUUAUAUAUUGUACCUUGUGUAUCAGGGUUUAUUAAUUAAAAGUUAAAAAUUUAAUUUUUCUCGAAUUUAAGAGAGUUAAUUUAUUAUUUAAUUUUUUGUUUCAUAAAAAUUUAAAAUAAUAAAUUAGAAAUGAAAUGUUAUUCGUUCUUAAAUAUAUCUAGUUUUUUAAGAAAUAAAUUAAAUUUAGAUUAUUAAUAAAUAAUUAUUUAUUUAAAUAAUAAAUUAUUAUUAAUAAUUAAUAUUUUAAGGGAUAAGCUUUAAAAUAAGUUUUUAUAAUAAAUUUUUAAUUUAAAAAUUAUAGGUUUAGAAAUAGCCAUUAAUGAUGAAAAUGUUAUAAUUUAUUUUAAAUUAAAAAUAAUUUUUAUUAAUUUAAGUUUUUAUUAAAAUAAUUUUUAUAAUUAAAUAAGAAUUAAAAUAAUGAUAAAAUUAGUAUAUUUAAUUGUUUUAAAUAAGUAAAUUGAAAGGUUAAAUUAAGGAACUUGGCAAAUAAAUACUCGCCUGUUUAACAAAAACAUGUCUUUUUGAAUAUAAUUUAAAGUCUAAUCUGCCCACUGAAAAAUUUUAAAGGGCCGCGGUAUU
rnacentral:rRNA from 1 species